AGGCUUGUAGCUCAGGUGGUUAGACGCACCCCUGAUAAGGGUGAGGUCGGUGGUUCAAGUCCACUCAGGCCUACCA
rnacentral:tRNA from 1 species